AAGAAUGACGGGCGAUAUGUACGAGCUAUUGCUUAUUCUAAGUGUGAUGCUCUCUACACUUAUACUUCUAAGUUCUUUUUUCAUUUUUGCUCUGACAAUUUCCAUUUUUCUAAAGGUACCCCAUUUUUCUUUUAUGUCUGUCUUGAUUUGUUUUAAAAAUCGUUUAUUUUGUUAAGUUUUUAUUUAACUUAACAACAAUGAUAUGAAGAAUUUAUUAGAGUAAAUUUUAUCGUGGGUAAUCGAUCAUAAUACAGGAUUCCCUAGCUAGGUAAGCUACCGCCAACGCAAUUAGAUUUUGUUUAUUUAACUACUAUCUUUAAUUUUAU
rnacentral:rRNA from 1 species